rnacentral:rRNA from 1 species
UACGAAGGGGGGCUAGCGUUGUUCGGAAUCACUGGGCGUAAAGCGCACGUAGGCGGCUUCUUAAGUCAGGGGUGAAAGCCUGGAGCUCAACUCCAGAACUGCCUUUGAUACUGAGGAGCUUGAGUCCGGGAGAGGUGAGUGGAACUGCGAGUGUAGAGGUGAAAUUCGUAGAUAUUCGCAAGAACACCAGUGGCGAAGGCGGCUCACUGGCCCGGUACUGACGCUGAGGUGCGAAAGCGUGGGGAGCAAACAGG